UACGUAGGGUGCAAGCGUUAAUCGGAAUUACUGGGCGUAAAGCAUGCGCAGGCGGCUUUGCAAGACAGAUGUGAAAUCCCCGGGCUUAACCUGGGAACUGCAUUUGUGACUGCAUGGCUGGAGUGCGGCAGAGGGGGAUGGAAUUCCGCGUGUAGCAGUGAAAUGCGUAGAUAUGCGGAGGAACACCGAUGGCGAAGGCAAUCCCCUGGGCCUGCACUGACGCUCAUGCACGAAAGCGUGGGGAGCAAACAGG
rnacentral:rRNA from 1 species